rnacentral:telomerase_RNA from 1 species
AACCAGAAUUAUGAGAUACCGAGAGCGAGACACUGUGGUCACCAAAAGGGCGAAACAAGAACCCUAGCCUACCUCGAGGUUGAGAAAACUCUGAACUCUUAGGAGAAAAUAACUUAAUGAUAAAUAACAAAAUAAUAAAUAAUAUAAAGGGGCGGGAGAGCUAAACGCUACUUCAAAACCCACUAAAAACGCGCCUUUGAGCAUUUUUUUCAGGCGAAAAGA